rnacentral:rRNA from 1 species
CCAGCAGCUGCGGUAAUUCCAGCUCCAAUAGCGUAUAUUAAAGUUGUUGCGGUUAAAAAGCUCGUAGUUGGAUCUCGGCAGGCAGGGGGCGGUUCGAUGUUCAUCGCUACUGCCCCAUUUGCCUGUGUGAUUGGCAGAGGUUUCGGGGUGCUCUUCGUUGAGUGUCCCGGGGCGCUGUCAGGUUUACUUUGAAAAAAUUAGAGUGCUCAAAGCAGGCUUCACGCGCUUGAAUAUUCGUGCAUGGAAUAAUGGAAUAGGAACUCGUUUCUAUUUUGUUGGUUUUCGGAAAUUGAGUUAAUGAUUGAUAGGGACAAUUGGGGGCAUUAGUAUUCAGACGACAGAGGUGAAAUUCUUGGACCGUCUGAAGACUAACUACUGCGAAAGCAUUUGCCAAGAGUGUUUU